rnacentral:lncRNA from 1 species
CGUUUGAAAUUAUUUGGUCGCCAUUUUGUUAUAUGUAACUUCGAAAUUUUAUCAAAACAAAUAGCAUGUAUCCACUUUCACAGAGGGAAAUAGUGUUUAAAUAUAUGCUGCAUUAAGGUAAGACAAUUAUUGAAAAGACAUGCAUCUAACAAUUUUACGAUUUUCAUCGUACAAAUCUUCAAAAAUAUAUAUGUCCAUGUCGCCCCACGCUAUCAAUGUUCUAAACUGCAUGGUCGGUGCAUGUAAAUCUUUAUUUUUAGUGUGAGAGACUGUUUCUAAUAAAUAUAUUGAAGAACAUGUGAAAAAAGAAAUUUCUUAAGUACAAAAAGACACACUUUGAUAAAUAUUUGAAAUAUUACUUUUUGAUUUAUAACUAAAUGAAUACCGGCAUGUCGUGUCGUUAUGAACCUUCAACAGUGUCCGCCAUUUUGAAAAUAUUGCUGAAGACUGCCAAAAUAUGAACUUUUCAAACAAAUUUCGAAGCAA